UACGUAGGGGGCUAGCGUUGUCCGGAAUCAUUGGGCGUAAAGCGCGUGUAGGCGGUCCGGUAAGUCCGCUGUGAAAGUCGAGGGCUCAACCCUCGAAUGCCGGUGGAUACUGUCGGGCUAGAGUACGGAAGAGGCGAGUGGAAUUCCUGGUGUAGCGGUGAAAUGCGCAGAUAUCAGGGGGAACACCAAUUGCGAAGGCAGCUCGCUGGGACGUUACUGACGCUGAGACGCGAAAGCGUGGGGAGCAAACAGG
rnacentral:rRNA from 1 species